GAAAAACCGAACUGUACGGAAACCAGGAAGUGAAGUCCGUAAAAAAUGCAUUUACAAAUUAUAUAUUUUACAUUUUAUAAUUUGCUCCUGCUGAACACACUCAGUGUCCUCAAGAGCCUGUGGAUGUGCUGGAGGAAUCAGCAGAUACUCCCUCUGUCCUCCAGGUCAUUGAGCCAAUCCUGCAGCUGCUGCCCACCGAACCACACGAAGAACCUUCAGCUGUCAUUCUGCCGCUCGAUGCUGAUGAGCCGGACAGUGCCUGCCGUGAUGUUCAGUGUGUGUCUGUAGUCUCCUCCCUCUCCCAGUGGACAUAAGCAGAGACAUCAUUGGAAUGAUGAGGGGUCCAGAGAGUCGGCUCUGCUGGUUUGAAAGCGCAGAGACACACUGCUUGACUCGCGAGGGAUUCCCUUAUUAUACCAGUGAUAAGGAGAGUUUCACUGGCAUUCAGCCGCUCGAUGCUGGUGAGCUGAUCAGCGCUUGGUGUAAUAUUCAGUUCCUCUCUGCACAGGCCUCCAUCUCCCAGUUCAAG